GGAAAGGAAGAGAGGAAGAAAGGAAGAAAGGAAGAAAGGAAGAAAGGAAGAAAAGAAGAAAAGAAGAAAAGAAGAAAAGAAGAGAGGAGAAAGGAAGAAAGGAAGAAAGGAAGGGAAGGCUGCUCAGCGGAUGCAGACUUGGGAACGCCAUCAGGCAAACAGCUGCCUGUCGACUCUUACAAGCUGAAGCACAAAUAGGUAUUCGGUGUCAAUGUAUCUGGAUGAAAAGAUCUUCAUAAGCAGUAGUGAAACCCAGCUGAGCUGAAAGAGAUUGGAGUUGCAGGGGAAAUCACAUCAGUUCAGAACACCUAGGGUUUGCAAAGUACAG